rnacentral:rRNA from 1 species
ACAAAGAAGAGUUUGAUCCUGGCUCAGGAUGAACGCUAGCGACAGGCCUAACACAUGCAAGUCGAGGGGUAGCAGAGAAGUAGCAAUACUUUUGCUGACGACCGGCGCACGGGUGAGUAACGCGUAUGCAACCUGCCUACUACAGGGGAAUAACCCGGAGAAAUUCGGACUAAUACCGCAUAAAACAGGGGUCCCGCAUGGG